GACGAACGCUGGCGGCGUGCCUAAUACAUGCAAGUCGAGCGAAGUUUUUCUGGUGCUUGCACUAGAAAAACUUAGCGGCGAACGGGUGAGUAACACGUAAAGAACCUGCCUCAUAGACUGGGAGAACUAUUGGAAACGAUAGCUAAUACCGGAUAACAGUAUUUCUCGCAUGAGAGAGAUUUAAAAGUUGUUUAUGCUAACACUAUGAGAUGGCUUUGCGGUGCAUUAGCUAGUUGGUGGGGUAAAGGCCCACCAAGGCGACGAUGCAUAGCCGAACUGAGAGGGUGAUCGGCCACACUGGGACUGAGACACGGCCCAGACUCCUACGGGAGGCAGCAGUAGGGAAUCUUCCGCAAUGGGCGAAAGCCUGACGGAGCAACGCCGCGUGAGUGAAGAAGGAUUUCGGUUCGUAAAGCUCUGUUGUUAGGGAAGAAUGGAUAUGUAGUAACUCUACAUGUAAGAGACGGUACCUAACCAGAAAGCCACGGCUAACUACGUG
rnacentral:rRNA from 1 species